CCUACGGGUGGCUGCAGUCGAGGAUCUUCGGCAAUGAGCGCAAGCUUGACCGAGCGACGCCGCGUGGACGAUGAAGGCCUUCGGGUUGUAAAGUCCUGUCGAGGGGGAUCAAGGGCAACUUGAGUGAUCCCUGGAGGAAGCACGGGCUAAGUUCGUGCCAGCAGCCGCGGUAAGACGAACCGUGCAAACGUUAUUCGGAAUCACUGGGCAUAAAGGGCGCGUAGGCGGCUUCCUAAGUCAGGGGUGAAAUCCGGCAGCUCAACUGUCGCAGUGCCUUUGAUACUGGGGAGCUCGAGGGAGGUAGGGGUCUGUGGAACUUCCGGUGGAGCGGUGAAAUGCGUUGAUAUCGGAAGGAACGCCGGUGGCGAAAGCGACGGACUGGACCUUUUCUGACGCUGAGGCGCGAAAGCCAGGGGAGCAAACGGGAUUAGAUACCCUAGUAGUCC
rnacentral:rRNA from 1 species